rnacentral:rRNA from 1 species
GCAAGCGUUGUUCGGAUUUACUGGGCGUAAAGGGCGCGUAGGCGGCCACCGCAAGUCGACUGUGAAAUCUCCGGGCUUAACCCGGAAAGGUCAGCCGAUACUGCGGGGCUAGAGUGCAGAAGGGGCAACUGGAAUUCUCGGUGUAGCGGUGAAAUGCGUAGAUAUCGAGAGGAACACCUGCGGCGAAGGCGGGUUGCUGGGCUGACACUGACGCUGAUGCGCGAAAGCUAGGGGAGCGAACGGG